rnacentral:rRNA from 1 species
UCCUGGCUCAGGAUGAACGCUGGCGGCGUGCCUAAUACAUGCAAGUCGAGCGAACGGACGAGAAGCUUGCUUCUCUGAUGUUAGCGGCGGACGGGUGAGUAACACGUGGAUAACCUACCUAUAAGACUGGGAUAACUUCGGGAAACCGGAGCUAAUACCGGAUAAUAUUUUGAACCGCAUGGUUCAAAAGUGAAAGACGGUCUUGCUGUCACUUAUAGAUGGAUCCGCGCUGCAUUAGCUAGUUGGUAAGGUAACGGCUUACCAAGGCAACGAUGCAUAGCCGACCUGAGAGGGUGAUCGGCCACACUGGAACUGAGACACGGUCCAGACUCCUACGGGAGGCAGCAGUAGGGAAUCUUCCGCAAUGGGCGAAAGCCUGACGGAGCAACGCCGCGUGAGUGAUGAAGGUCUUCGGAUCGUAAAACUCUGUUAUUAGGGAAGAACAUAUGUGUAAGUAACUGUGCACAUCUUGACGGUACCUAAUCAGAAAGCCACGGCUAACUACGUGCCAGCAGCCGCGGUAAUACGUAGGUGGCAAGCGUUAUCCGGAAUUAUUGGGCGUAAAGCGCGCGUAGGCGGUUUUUUAAGUCUGAUGUGAAAGCCCACGGCUCAACCGUGGAGGGUCAUUGGAAACUGGAAAACUUGAGUGCAGAAGAGGAAAGUGGAAUUCCAUGUGUAGCGGUGAAA